rnacentral:rRNA from 1 species
GACGGAGGGUGCUAGCGUUGUUCGGAUUUACUGGGCGUAAAGCGCACGUAGGCGGAUCGUUAAGUCGGGGGUGAAAUCCUGGAGCUCAACUCCAGAACUGCCUUCGAUACUGGCGAUCUUGAGUCCGGAAGAGGUGAGUGGAACUCCUAGUGUAGAGGUGGAAUUCGUAGAUAUUAGGAAGAACACCAGUGGCGAAGGCGGCUCACUGGUCCGGUACUGACGCUGAGGUGCGAAAGCGUGGGGAGCAAACAGG